GGGCCCGCACAAGCAGCGGAGCAUGUGGUUUAAUUCGAAGCAACGCGUAGAACCUUACCAGGGCUUGACAUCCUCCGAAUCCGGUAGCGAUACGGGAGUGCCCCUUAUGGGGAACGGAGAGACAGGUGGUGCAUGGUUGUCGUCAGCUCGUGUCGUGAGAUGUUGGGUUAAGUCCCGCAACGAGCGCAACCCCUAUGGUAUGUUGCCAGCACGUAGAGGUGGGGACUCAUGCCAGACUGCCGGUGACAAACCGGAGGAAGGUGGGG
rnacentral:rRNA from 1 species